GUUUGUAUAAAAUUUAGAAAAAUUGAUGAGAUUAUAUAGAAAAGAGAUGAGAGAAGACAGUUACGUGUGUCUGGGAGUGUGUGACAGAGUUACUACAGUGGAAGGUGUAAAUUUUGGGUGUUUGGUCCAUAGUGGUUAACCUCCCUCUGCCAGAAAGGACAGUGACGCAGAUAAAGAGAAAGAGAGAGAGAGAGAGAAAGUAAUGUUGUGUGGUUGGGGUUGGGUUUACGAUGCAGGUGGGGUCCAGAUAGCAUUCGUUUGGUGUGCAUUGGGAGUGUGAAGAGAAAGAGGGGGGGUGUGCACGCAUGGUGAGUAAGUGAUUAAUUAAUUAACACUGUCACAGCAGAAGAAGAAGAUGAUGGUAGCGCAGUGGCAGUAAAUGCCACACGCAUGCACGCACGCACGGUGGCUGGUGGGUGGUCAUCAGAAUGGGAAUAAAAAGCUGGGUGACGUUAUCGUCGCUAACAGACAUAAGGUAAAAGGGUACUAAACAAAUGCAAUGCAUGCACACAACACAACAAACAAAGACCCCACCUAUCCAUCAAUUCACUGAAUACAAACAGCUGCACGUGGACAUCACCUACCACACGUGCACUCAAUCACCAACCAUACAUACAUACAUAACAUCUACAUUCAUAUAUACAUAUAAUUCCACAAUUUUU
rnacentral:lncRNA from 1 species